UAGGUUUGGAAUUAAAAUCAAGUUGUGGGUUAGUUUUGGCAAAAAUCCCUAAAAAAAAACUAAAACUGCAAACUACAUGGCAUAUUUAACUUCACAACUAGAUUUUGAUCCGCGCUUUCAAAGCGCGGGUAUAUUUUUUGUUUGAAAUUUUUUUUAUCGAAAUAAUAUAUUUAUAUUUUGUGUAUAAUAUUUAUUAAAAUUGUUAUAAUUUUUGCUAACUAUAUUGAAUUUGUGAAAUUAACUAUACACUUGUACCAUAGCCAUUUCACACAUUAAUUUUAAAUUUAAUGAUCUUAACUUUCAUAACAUUUUUUUUUUCUUACUAUUGAGACUAUUGUCAAAUAAUAUAUAAUAUUUAUUGCUAAAAUUAUAUACUAAACAAUGAUAUUUGUUUUUAUAAAGAAUAUCAAAUUAUAGUUCCAAUUUUUAAUAUAAAAUGUAUAUUAAUAUUAUCUAACUAAAUAUCAAUUAGGCAAUAUCACAAUACUAAAAGCCGGAUACCAACUCUUUUUAGAGUGUCCACGUCACUGUUUUUAAUUGACCAGUAAGGGAUCUGUCUUCCUCCACGUCACGUACGCUUCGUGUGUUCGAUUGGGCUCUCGCAUUGUAUUUUGUUCGAAAAAUUAAGUGGUUAAUUGAUCUUGAUCUUAAGCUUUGUUAUUUCGUGUGUUUUGCGGCCUUAUUGCUCGGUGGCCCAUUAAAUAUAUGUACAGCUAAGUCCACUUACUAGCACCCAAUUGCGACAAAAAAAACUUUUCGUCGUUUUCUUCUUUUCAAUUUAGGUCUCUAGAGUUACUCCAUCAAUGUGUUCAAAAAAAAAAAGAGUUACUCCAUCAAAAACUACUCUCCUCAGAAUGUUUGUCCUUUCCUCUUCUCAAAUUAAAUUCAUGAACUGCUUAUCUUCUUUUAUCUAUACAUCUCCCAAUCUUUGCUCAACCAAUCAAUAAUGGAUGGUUCUCAUAACGCUUCGAAAUGAUCCCAUAUAUAUAGUUCAUGUCAUACAACGAUCCCUUGCAUCUCAUUUCAAUUCAAAGUUUUUCUCAACUGGAGCAGAUUUCAUCCAAUCAUCAAGUCAUCAAGAAUGUCUUCCUCUACUGUUAUGUUGCUCAAGCCGUCCACCACUCUCUCCGACUUGGCCAUACUUCUCCGUUUGAUUGUUGCUCACCUCCUCGCUUCUGGGAUUCCCAUAACGGCAGGAAAAUAGUGAAAUUACGGGAAUCAACCUCCUCUUCUUGUUCCUGGACGAGAAGAACUCUUUGAUCUGCGGCUUUUAAGGUUAUCUACAUGAAGUUCAUGGUUAUCUAAAGCGCAGACGUGAAGGUGCAAGACUAACGCAAAGCAACGAGGGUUUUGUUUACCUUCGCCAUGGCAGCUGUAGCUAUUUCUCGGACGAGUUCAUUGUUCCUGAUUCCGGCAAAGCUUCGAAUGCAGCUGCAUCCAUGAUGAGAGUGCUCAGUAAGUUAAGGAGUAUUGAACUUUUUAAUACCAGUUUCCAGUAUUCUUUAAGCCCAGAUGUUCUCCUGGAAAGGUUAUACCUUGAUCUUCACCACAUUUUCAGUUUAUUCCAAUGAAAUUCAAAUAGUUCUAUUAUAUACAUUAAAAAUGCUCAGAAGAGACCAGCUCUGCAAUUUUAUCAUACCAAUAAUUUGAAAAACGAGAUACUCAUUUUAGUUGUUUAGCUGGUGGUGUUGUGCUAUUUCUUAUUUUGGUUCUCACAGGAGUUAUGAUCGUACUGCAACUGCCCGAAGAAAAUGAAACCAUGAGGCAAGGUUAAUCUAGCAUUGUGGAUAUGUUUAGCUGCUGUCCUCAUCAGUUCUUCUAUUUUAUGUGCUAAUUAUCGUUCAUGUUUCCUCUUUGACUAUAAAUAAAAAAUGAAGGCUGAUACUCAGCAUCCUUCUUAUAUUCCUAAAUUGUCAAGUUCUUGCAUAUAUCAAUUUCUCAAUGUUUUACAAUGUAAUAUAUGCAAGCUACGAGAUAGGUUGAACAAACAUGCAAGUAAUAACUGAGCUUGACAUAGAAAGAUGGCUGACCAUUUCAAUUUAUCAAGAACUAAAUGUCAUCUUCAUUCAGAGCUCCGGAGUGGCAUAUGCAGUCAUCACUAAUGAAUAAGAAACAUUUGUCAUGCUCAUAUGUUUCAGGAUGCAUUGAACAACUUAAAUCAAAACCCCGCGCUUGCGCGGGCCAUGCCACUAGUCAAUCUUAAUGAAAAAGUAUUAUUAAAACAAUAUCAAUUUAAAAGGCCCCUAGUAAUCAAACCAAAUGUUACAAAUUAUUAGCUUUUAUUUAUAGUCGAGGCCCAAGGCCUAAUUUUAAAACAUCUUAGACAAAAAAAAAACUCAUUCACCUUUGGUGUCUUUUUUUUUUUGCUGUCGAGACCUUUGGUGUCUCUUUCUAGAAAUUUGAAAGCUGGAAAAUAUCAAAACAAUCUCUGUUUAUUACCACCGAAUGUUCUGGUCUCAAACUCAUGGAUCUGUAAAGCUCAACUCUGACCGUUCAGGUACUUGUAUAAUAUCCUAAUUUUUCUUCGUAAUGUAUAGAUAUUGGGAUCAUCUGAACUAUUUUCGAGCUGAAAUCUGAAAGAUUUAAAAUUUCUCAUUUUAUAAAUCUUUUGCAUGUCAGAUCAGACUCCUCCGUUUAUUCCGAUGGACGAUCUAAGCGAAGCUGUUCUUCAUAGAGCUAUUUUAUGUGUGUGAAUUGUUGGAAGUAAUGAAGACGAAUGAAGGAGCUUUUUAGAUAAGUCAUUUUUCAGUUACAAUAAUAUAACCAAGUAGUAUCUGUUGUCUUUGUUCUUCAGGAGGUACCUCUAAAUUUUUUAUUUGUUUGUGAGGAAGGAGCAACUGGAUCUAAAAGACUUGAAGUCUCUUCAGACAACUUCAAAUACAUGUUCUGAUUUUCUUUUGCAAGAAGUUUUAAACUAAACUGCUCGGGGCAACUGCCAAAAAUGACGACAUCGAGCAAAGGAAAGCAAAGUGCAUUCAGAAAAUAGUCUUUGGGUUGACUCAAUUUGAAAAGAGAGUCAAAGAGUUCUUUGAAGCCACUCUUAAAACAAAUAAAAAACGUCUCCUUCCUUAGUCCAUGGAGAUGAUUCGAACUUCAACACCAAGUGAAAGUGAAUAUGGGCUUCAAGAUUAUCAAAAACGAUUACCAGGAUAAAUGAGGAGGUUUACAAACGAUGAGUCCUUGAACUGAUGGUGACAUUGUUUCAUCAUGGUCAGAAAGUAGAAUAUCAAAAGUAUCUCUGGUGGACUUUGUAUAUAUUAGGAAUUGAGUAAAAACAGUUAGGUGAAACAAUACUUCAACCAUGAAAGAUAAGUUCCUUUAUACAAUUAUUAAAUAACGUACUGAUUAAAUGUAUAGUUUCCAUAAUUUAAUAUGAUAUAUAUUAUAUACUAUGUUGGUUUUAUAGGACCAUAUGCAUAUUAUACUGAUGACCCAAAUAGGAAUAAUGAAUCAAAGUGGCGUCAUUUCUCCAAAGAGUUUGCAAUAAUUUAAUAAGUUACAACUAACCAUGCACCAAACGGAAGAAGCCUUCCUUUACUUUCAAUGUAAGUCCCUUUUCAAGUUGCAUGAAUAUUAUGACCUUGUACCAUGUUACAAUAGGAAGGAAAAUUAUCAAGAAUAAAUCACAAUAUUAAAAAGACAUCAACGAUAUUGAGAAACAUAAGUAGACGCAAAUGAACACUUCCAUUCUCAUCAGCCAAUAUGAAUUCAGUGGUUUCCCCUGAUAUGUUUUGUUUCCAAGAGUGUAGAACCUUCACAUGAACAAACCAAAUAUUCUUCCAGGGCUUCAAAUCGUUAAUGCAUGUCACGUUCACCUUAGAAGCUUUCGCUUUUGGAUUUGCAUGUUAGAAGCCAUAGGUGUCUUUGACAGUAGACUUUUUGACGAUAGUGGAUUCAAUAGGAAGAUAGUCUUGGAUAUUUAUAAUAUGUAGAGGUUAAAGGGAGAGAUGCUUAGGUUAUUACGAAACCUUGGGGCCAACUCCAAAUCGUAUCCCACCAGAUUUGCUAACUAUAAAAUUGAUAUAAUUUAUUGUUGAUAUUGUUACCAUUUUGAAAGCUUCAUAAUAUUCGGUGGGUGUGCUCACGUUAAGUUUAUUAAUUGAAUCCUUUGCACCGUGAUAUCAGGUAUAACUUGCAUAAUCUUCUAGCAAAUAUUUUCUUUAGUAGAAAUAAAUUGUAUCGAUUAAUGACCAAGUAGUUAAAAAUCAGAAUAUUCUUUCUAAUCUAUUGAAUCGAUUUCAAUAAUUAAAUGAGUUAAGCUAUAUAAUCGGGGGAAAGAUUUGGUUUGCAAGGGAUAUUGGAAUUAGUCGCUGUUUAAAAGUUUAAUUCAACUAAAAAUACAUUUUUUAUUCUUUAUAGAUCCACUAAUUGAUAAAUUGUAUAUAUACUGUAUUAACUAUUGUUCAAAAUUGAUAUUUAAAUUGAUGGUUUCAUUAUGGUGGUAGUACAAUGUAAAUACUAUAUUUUUAAAAUUCAUGAAAAAAAAUUCAAAUUUUAUGGUAUUUGGAUAUGAGCAAAUUAGCUCAAUAUACUGAAAAGAGUGGGAUACCAUUGAAUUGGGGGAAAAUGGUAGUGAUGGGGGGAAAAAAAUUGAAGGGAAAUAGGGUAUGGAGUGCAAAUAUAGGGGAAGUUGUGUGUAGGGAGUACAAAUACUCUUUGGAUAUAGGGUUUGUUCUGAGUUUUAUUAGAUUGGUUUAUGUUACAUCCGAAAUGGGCUUUAUUAGAUUGGGCUUAAAAGUUGUUGUGAUUCGGUCGAGUCUGUUUUGGUUUUAAUGUUGCUGUAAUUGGAUUUUAAAAUAGUUGCUUCUGAUUGGUCAAUAAAUAUGGACGAUUUUCGUUAAAAAAAACGAAAAAAAAGGCAGUGGCAUUUGGUUGUAAAUAUACUGAAAAAGCAGGGGCAGAGUCCUAGGAGGGAUUCUGCUUUAAUAGUAUAGAUUUUCACGCAAUUCACUACGAAUAAUCUACUUUAUUAAAACAGAAGUACACUUAGAGAAUAACCCUAAAAGUUAUCCAGUAUUUACAACCAAAUGCCACUGACUAUCUACUUAAUUUAACGUAAAAAAACAUCUGUCUUUUCCACCUAUUUAAUGUUUUCCAAAUAUGAUUAAUUCUAGCUAAAAAAACGCAUGACUUUCCUCCACCGCCACUUAUCAUCUCUCCAAAUAUGUGAAUGGUACGUACUUUCUUCCGCUUUAUCUGACCUAAACAAACAUAAAAUGAUGGAAAACUUUAUGAAUAAUUCAAUACGUUACUUAAACAAAAU